UACGUAGGGGGCAAGCGUUGUCCGGAAUCAUUGGGCGUAAAGAGCGCGUAGGCGGCCCUGUAAGUCCGCUGUGAAAGUCAAGGGCUCAACCCUUGGAUGCCGGUGGAUACUGCAGGGCUAGAGUCCGGAAGAGGCGAGUGGAAUUCCUGGUGUAGCGGUGAAAUGCGCAGAUAUCGAGAGGAACACCUGCGGCGAAGGCGGGUUGCUGGGCUGACACUGACGCUGAUGCGCGAAAGCUAGGGGAGCGAACGGG
rnacentral:rRNA from 1 species